GUUUUGUUGGUUUUCGAGUUCAUUCAUUUCUUAAAUCUCCCUUCUCCAGUAAGUUUCUGUAUGGAAACUGUUGUAUUUUAGCUCAGGACCUGACUUACUCAAGGAAUCAACUCUCAACAGAAAUAUAAAUUUGUUUGGCAGAUCUGACGAGUUUGGGGAUGUUUGUUGAUGGAGGAAACCGGCGGCUCUGUUGUAGGAAUGGGUUGGCUUGCAAAAUUGUCUCCUCCACCACGAACUAUUCUCCUAGCAGCGUUGAUUCCGGCGGCGGCUAGAGCUUCACGGCGGCAGAUCUGGUGGACGACGACAUUUUCUUCUUCGGUGGCUAAGGUCUUGUAGGUAUCCGGUUUUGUUUUGGUUUUUUGAAUUCCAAUUUUUGUAAACCGAUUCUAAUCUCCAAUAAGGGUGGUAUAUAUGUAUAAUGUAUUAUAUAUAGUUUGUAUACACAUGUUCUUUUUUUGAACAUAUAUAUAGUUAUAUACACAUGUAUAUGCUGCCACAGUCAUGGUUAGGAAACUAAACCGGGACUUUGGUGUGGUUUAGUUGAGCUAGGCUUCGGCUCGGCUCCGAUAUAUUUUUUUUUUAAUAAUUUUUUUUUGGAUUUGUCGGCAAGUUCUCGGAGAUCACCGUCAACAUUUUGACAACCCUGUUUGUCGAUGAUAACAUAGUCGGAAACGCCUCGUCUCUUUCCGACAACCAUUUCCGAGAUUAAUCCGAGAGAAGAAUUUCAUCGCUAAGUUUCCGACAAACUGACGAUGAACGUCAUUUUCCGACGCUCAAACUCCGACCAAUUAUUUAUUGUCGGAAACGUCUCGGAAAUCAUGAACUCCGACGAAUUUCCAAUAAAUUUUGCUGUCGGCAUAGAGACUUUUUCUUGUAGUGUUAAAGUUUAAACCAUCUAAACAGACGAUUAAUAUUAUAGAAGUAGAAACUUCGAAAUAGUUAUAGAAUUAUAAUUGAGAUAUUAGACAAAUCAUGUGGAUUCUUAAAACGAGGAUAAUGAUGCGUAGCUGUUUGUCUUAUAAAUUAUAAUUAUAACAUAGGCUUCUUGGAUGCUUCUCCUGGCUUUCAUUUAACAAAUCACACUUUCUUUAGAUAACCCUUAUUUCCCGUGCUUUAACUAUAUUAUUUCGUUCUAUUAAUAAAGUUUUGUCAUUAAUUUUUUUAAUUAAAAUCUGUAAUUUAUUUACCAACAAAUUCCUUUUUAUCUAUAAAUUCUGGAUUCAACAGUUUGUGAAGUACUUAAAGAAACAGUAACUAUAAAACAAAGCUUCGAAGGCCAGUGGCGAAUGUACAUUUAUGCUUGGGAUUGAGUUCUGAAUACUGUUAUCUAAAAAAGUGCGAUUUGUUAAAUGAAAUCCAGGAGAAGCAUCAUAAAGGCUAAAAUUUUUAGAGCCAAGAGAUUGAGUGCCAACGAAAGAAACUGUCUCCCCAUCUCUUUCUUCUUCACCAGGAGCUAAUUAGCUAAAUGUUGGGAUUGCAUUUGAAUCGUAUAGGCUAAAAGAAGUACAAUGGCAAAGUUUUAGGUGAAUCUUUUGUUACCUUUUUUUUUGCUAAAUACUUAAUUUAUUAGUGUUGUAAUUGAUAGAAAAAUGUUUUCCAUCGUAUUUAUUAAACUACACUUCUAUAAUAUAUUUGGAUUGAAAUGUUUUAUACGCCUUCGAAAAGGAUGAGAUGUGCUUCUACGAAAGCUACCCUCUUUUUUCAAGAAGGAUAGAAUGAUCGGAUUAGUUUUGUUAUCCUGAAUGUCUUAGAAGAUUUCUGUUUUGUCUUUUGGUAGAAAAGUUAUCUAGUAAAUGAGCUAAAUUUGUGGCUACACUUUCGUAUUUUUAUUUCUCUUGUUAAGUUCUUCUUAAUAAUUAUGGAAGAUCUAGUAAUAGUUAUCUAGUAAACUGCAGAAGGCAUGGAGAAAGCUCAAACAGCCCUGCAACUUUAAUUAAAAGCAUCGACAAAACAGUAAGAAAUCGUAUCUCCAGUUUGCGCCUUGUGGGAGUUUGCAAGUACACUAAAGCCAUGGAAACAUGGUUUUCAGUAAGAUAAACUAUGUCUGUCCUCUGUUUCAGUUUUUAAAAACUCUCGAAUAAUGUUGCAUCCUCUGUAAAAAAGUUUUUUCUUGAAUGAAUUUAACAUCAAUUCAAAAAAAA